GCCCGCGUGGCAUAGUGGUACUGCGUGUCACUCGUAUCACGUGAUUAAUCACUUGACUUUUAUGACAAGAUCCUCGGUUCGAUUCCGAGCGUGGGCA